rnacentral:misc_RNA from 1 species
GGAUCAUUAACGCAUAACUACCAACUAUCCAGUUUUGGAUUUUGGUCAGUCUCAGUCUCAGUCAGUCCCAAGUCCUUGGCCCCGCGGCAGGCGUGCAUGAAGCGCUGUCGCGGGGCUGUGAACGCUAUGUCUUUCGGGGUACCUAUCACUGUCCUCGAUGCGACCCACGGUGACGGCUUAGAGCCCGUGUGCUCGCCGGGUCGCGACGGUUCAAAGAGUGGCCGGCCGCACGGCCGGCGACCGCCCCACUCUCGUCCUCGUCCUCGUCCUCGUCCUCGUCCNCGUCCNCGUCGUCCCACAAACUGGCAGAUGUCAAACGGGAGGUUACGUCCGGGGUACCUAUGCCCUGCACGCGUGCUUGCAUGCAGGGUGGUAGCUCCAGCUCGUCACUUUGGCCGCGAGGUUCAAAGAGUCGGCCGUGCCAUUCACGCUCUCGAUGGCACCGGUCGCCGCCCCGGGCCUCCCACAAUUUUUCCUUUACGUAACACAAAAUUAUUUUCCAAAACGCCGAUUAGGUCAGGCCACGACCAGUCGGCGGGUGCAAGUCAAAUAAAAAAGUCUAUAACUUUGAGCGGUGGAUCACUCGGCUCGUGCGUCGAUGA